UAUGCCUGUGCCUCAUCAUAAGAAUCCCCAACUAGCUCAACAGUUGCACCCAGUCUCUUAACAGAUUGCCACUUGAUUUCCGGAGUAGUUACAGGCAUUGCAAUCACUGCAUUACAGCCUAGUUUCUUGGCAGCUAAUGCGACACCCUGGGCAUGGUUUCCAGCUGAUGAGCAGAUAACCCCUUUUUCCAACUGUUCUUUUGGAAGUUUUGCCAUCAUAUUAUAAGCUCCCCGCAGCUUAAAUGAGAAAACCGGCUGCAAGUCC
rnacentral:misc_RNA from 1 species